CAUGCAAGUCGAACGGUAACAGGGUGCUUGCACCGCUGACGAGUGGCGAACGGGUGAGUAAUGCGUCGGAAUGUACCGUGUAAUGGGGGAUAGCUCGGCGAAAGCCGGAUUAAUACCGCAUACGCCCUGAGGGGGAAAGUGGGGGACCGUAAGGCCUCACGUUAUACGAGCAGCCGACGUCUGAUUAGCUAGUUGGUGAGGUAAGAGCUCACCAAGGCGACGAUCAGUAGCGGGUCUGAGAGGAUGAUCCGCCACACUGGGACUGAGACACGGCCCAGACUCCUACGGGAGGCAGCAGUGGGGAAUUUUGGACAAUGGGCGCAAGCCUGAUCCAGCCAUGCCGCGUGUCUGAAGAAGGCCUUCGGGUUGUAAAGGACUUUUGUUCGGGAGGAAAUCCCGCUGGUUAAUACCUGGCGGGGAUGACAGUACCGGAAGAAUAAGCACCGGCUAACUACGUGCCAGCAGCCGCGGUAAUACGUAGGGUGCAAGCGUUAAUCGGAAUUACUGGGCGUAAAGCGUGCGCAGGCGGUUGUGCAAGUCUGAUGUGAAAGCCCCGGGCUUAACCUGGGAACGGCAUUGGAGACUGCACGACUAGAGUGCGUCAGAGGGGGGUAGAAUUCCACGUGUAGCAGUGAAAUGCGUAGAGAUGUGGAGGAAUACAGAUGGCGAAGGCAGCCCCCUGGGAUGACACUGACGCUCAUGCACGAAAGCGUGGGGAUGCAAACAGGAUUAGAUACCCUGGUAGUCCACGCCCUAAACGAUGUCAACUAGCUGUUGGGGGUUUGAAUCCUUGGUAGCGUAGCUAACGCGUGAAGUUGACCGCCUGGGGAGUACGGCCGAAAGGUUAAAACUCAAAGGAAUUGACGGGGACCCGCACAAGCGGUGGAUGAUGUGGAUUAAUUCGAUGCAACGCGAAAAACCUUACCUGCUCUUGACAUGUACGGAACUUGCUAGAGAUAGCUUGGUGCCCGAAAGGGAGCCGUAACACAGGUGCUGCAUGGCUGUCGUCAGCUCGUGUCGUGAGAUGUUGGGUUAAGUCCCGCAACGAGCGCAACCCUUGUCAUUAGUUGCCAUCAUUAAGUUGGGCACUCUAAUGAGACUGCCGGUGACAAACCGGAGGAAGGUGGGGAUGACGUCAAGUCCUCAUGGCCCUUAUGAGCAGGGCUUCACACGUCAUACAAUGGUCGGUACAGAGGGUUGCCAAGCCGCGAGGUGGAGCUAAUCUCAGAAAACCGAUCGUAGUCCGGAUCGCACUCUGCAACUCGAGUGCGUGAAGUCGGAAUCGCUAGUAAUCGCAGAUCAGCAUGCUGCGGUGAAUACGUUCCCGGGUCUUGUACACACCGCCCGUCACACCAUGGGAGUGAGUUUCACCAGAAGUGGGUAGGCUAACCGUAAGGAGGCCGCUUACCACGGUGGGAUUCAUGUACAGGG
rnacentral:rRNA from 1 species